ACAUAGAAGAUUGUGUAAUGGUUCGUUCGUGUAAUGGUUCGACUGAGUUUCCGUCUUUUUAUACCUCCUCUUUCAUGUAAGCUUUUCUUCCCCCCUUUCCUGUUGGCAAAUGGGUGAGCCUGCCCUGUAGGUCGGCCCCCCUCACAUUCCAGGGCACGGCUAGGGGCGGGGCCCGUUUGCCCAAGUCCUUGUAGGGACAUCGCAGAGAGGGCUGCGCGGCCCACGUGACCCGCCCCCGCGCGGCCCCGGAGCGUCAGGCCCUGGCCGCCGGGCGGUCGUGCGCCUGCGCGCGGGGCUCCCGCCGGGUCUGCGUCGCUGUCUGUGAGGCUUUUGGGUAGGAGGUUUUAUCUCGGCGUACUGCGCGGUGUUUUGGAGAGCUCCACCCCUUCCACAUUGGAGCAAACCUUCGGAAGUCCCCAGGGCCCUCAGCUAAGCGGCCACUAUCUUUUUGGCCCAGACGGAUUUCGUGAGGUCACGAAUGAUGAAGACUUACUCCCUCUUCAAAAACGUUGUUUGGUAUUUUUCCCACCAGAGCCCCGCUUAACAAGGAAAGACUGGAUCUGACCAGGAAGGAAGACAGGCGACCAGCAAGAGCUAACGAAAUCUUGCCCCUAUCUCUCACUAUGAUGCAGACUUGUGGCUUGGUGAAAAUAGGAAUAAAAAGUUGGGGCUAUUUUUUUCUCAGCUCUCCUUUCCUUGGACAGCUUCUAACAAUUCAUCUAGUUAAAGGAAAGCCCUCCCCAGUUCUGUCCUUUUCCGUACAAAGCCUGGUGAGGAAAACUAUGGUGCUGGUCACCUCAGCUCUAGUGAGCUCAACUACGAAAGGAGUGAAUUGGAUCCGGCAACGCUCAGAUCAUCCCAGCACUAAUAAGGCUCAGUUCCUAGUUUGGCUCAUGUGGCAAGAAGAGUUCUGACGUUUGGGGUGGCCCUAUUGUCCUUUCCUCUCACUUGAAUCACCCUGCUGAAAAGGAAGAUUUUAUUUAUUUAUCUGACACAGAGAGAGCACAAGAGAGACACAGAGCAAGCACAAGCAGAGGGAACGACAAGCAGGGGAGAAGCAGACUCCCCACUGAGCAGGGAGCCCGAUGUGGGGCUCGAUCCCAGGACCCUGGAAUCAUGACCUGAACUGAAGGCAGACGCUUAACCAACUGAGCCACCCCGGUGCCCCAUCAUUUAGUUCUUACAACAACCAUGUGAGG